rnacentral:rRNA from 1 species
GAUGGACGCUGGCGGCGUGCCUAAUACAUGCAAGUCGAGCGAACAGACGAGGAGCUUGCUCCUCUGACGUUAGCGGCGGACGGGUGAGUAACACGUGGAUAACCUACCUAUAAGACUGGGAUAACUUCGGGAAACCGGAGCUAAUACCGGAUAAUAUAUUGAACCGCAUGGUUCAAUAGUGAAAGACGGUUUUGUUGUCACUUAUAGAUGGAUCCGCGCCGCAUUAGCUAGUUGGUAAGGUAACGGCUUACCAAGGCAACGAUGCGUAGCCGACCUGAGAGGGUGAUCGGCCACACUGGAACUGAGACACGGUCCAGACUCCUACGGGAGGCAGCAGUAGGGAAUCUUCCGCAAUGGGCGAAAGCCUGACGGAGCAACGCCGCGUGAGUGAUGAAGGUCUUCGGAUCGUAAAACUCUGUUAUUAGGGAAGAACAAAUGUGUAAGUAACUAUGCACGUCUUGACGGUACCUAAUCAGAAAGCCACGGCUAACUACGUG